rnacentral:lncRNA from 1 species
UAUGCAGGUUCUUUAAGCACCAAAUAAAGAUCUGGUCGAUGUGACAAGUGUUACUCGAUGUCUGUAAUCCACCUUCAAAAUUUAACAAAUCAUAGAUUUUUUUUUUUUCUCGCAGCUAACUAGCUAAUCUGGAUCGAUCUAGUAGGGUCUAUAGAUUCAAGGACAAUUUGGAUAUGGUGUAGAUUUGAUCACAUUCUGAUCAUGGCAACAAUAUGAGAUCAGA